rnacentral:siRNA from 1 species
AGGGAUGAAAUUUAACUACUGGUC